GAUCUCGCGAGAGGCGAGGCCAAAACCCUGCCUCGCUAGCGCAGGGAGAAGUCGCACCAGUCGGAGCGCAGAGGGACACGCAGACAUUUCAGCAGAGGCCUCAAAGGCAGAACAAAAUAGUGCAAGGAGCCGCACAUCCGCACAGUGCUGAGACCCUGCCCAGGACAAGCUUGACAAAAAAGAAGAAAAUUGGGUCUUGUUAUGUUGCCCAGGCUGGUCUCCAACUCCUGGCCUCAAGUGAUCCUCCCAGCUUGUCCUUCCAAAGUGUUGGGAUUAUAGGUGUGAGCCACUGUGCCUGGCCAUGUCUGAAUGUUGAAUGUUGACAGCUUCAGUGAAUUGACCCCUCUUUCACCUAUGGGACUUAUGAAGAGAGAAUCUUUCUGGCAUUGCAUAAUCCUUCCCAAGAGUACUUUAGCUGUGGUAACCCUUCUUGUUAUAAAACAUGCCAGGUAUGAUGAUGGAGAUCAGCUGAGCUGGACUUAGAAUCUUCUCUAAGAACAUUUACAGGCACUCAGUGUUAACAGCAGGGCAGAUGUAGGUUUCUGGGAACCUGAGGCUUAUAGGAACUGGAGUUCAUUGUAAGAAAAAGAAUAUCAAAUUAUGAAGACAAAAUUAGGCAUCAAUGUGAAUAUUAAUUUAGGAGAAAUCACAACAAAUCGCACAUCCUGAAAAGCUAACAAAUACUGCAUACAUCGCAGAAUCUAGAAGCAUAACAAUAUUUGUAUUGGUUAACUUGGACAUAUCACUAUAGUAUGCUUUUUUUCUACAUUUUGGGCUAUAUUUUUUUCCUAUUCUUUUUGGUUGAUGUCCUUGUAGUAGUGGCUACAUGUUAGUAGGCACUAACCCUAGUAGUAACUAAUCCUAGUAGUAGGGUUCAUGUUAUUGUUGUCGAUGUCUGUAUUUUGUGAUCAAAUCACCAAGACUGCAAAUCCUUCUUUCAACAUAUUCAUAUGAUUCACUCCCCUUCAUUAAAUUGGGUUAUUCAAACAAUUAUGCUCCAAAUUUAUCUCUUCCUCUUAAUCAAGUACUACUUUGGCAUGAUCUGAUUUUUAUAAUUAUUCUCUCUUCUCAUCUUUAUUAUUUAUAUUUUCUUAGCUAUUAUGAUUCUUCUUCUCAAUUUCAUGCUUUUGUCUAUCAGGCUUUUUAGCUUCUGUUGUGAUAGAACAAAAGAGUUUUUGACAUUUUGUAACUUCUUCCAGUCUUUUAUCUUUCAGUUUUUGUCUGAGACUUCUACUAGGAUGUUUUCUUCUCAACACGCUUGAUUUUUGUAUAGUUAAUAAUUUUGAAAUAAAGGCAUUCUCAAGAGCAGUUCAAAUGCACUUGAAAAUUGCUGAAAUGUAUUGAGUUGCAUAUUGCAUAAUCAAAUUACUUUUUUGCCACAUAGACUGAUCUAUUGGUGAGUAUGUGUAGGGGUUUCAUUACCCUGGAGUCCUUUUUCUUUGCUUUUUUUCCCCUUUCUUUCCAUUUCUGUGGCAAUUUGGUGAACAGUUUCAUCAGGAAGUGUGAGACUUCAUAAGGGCAAGAGGAUCAGAUAGAUACUCUAAGGGUGAUCCGUUCAGUUUGCACAAUAAAUCUGUGGAAGACAUCAUAUGUACAGUGGAAUCUUCUUUCUUUGCAGAGAAAAGUGGACAAGCAUCCAAUUUCCAAAUCAAUUCUUGGGAUAAAUUGGUAUAACUUGUUGGAAAGCAGUUUGUCAAUAUGUAUUGCAAGCCCUAAAAAUAUUUAUGUCCCCCUCAAAUACAUGCAUAUUCCUAUAGUUUGAGUAAUUUAAUUUACAUAUAUUAAUUUUAAGAAAAUGCUCCUGAAAAUGAAAAAGGUAUUAGGCACAAAGAUGGUGUUAACAAUAUAUUCCUUAAAACAUUUUUAGUUUGUUUUUUUUUUGAGACAGUCUUGCUCUGUCGCCCAGGCUGGAGUGCAGUGAUGCGAUCUCAGCUCACUGCAACCUCCACCUCCAAGGUUCAAGCAAUUCUCCUGCCUCAGCCUCCCGAGUAGCUGGGAUUAUAGGCACCACCAUGCCCGGCUAAUUUUUUUGUAUUUUUAGUAGAGACGGAGUUUCACCAUGUUGGCCAGGCUGGUUUCGAACUCCUGACCUCAAGUGAUCUGCUCAUGUUGGCCUCCCAAAGUGCUAGGAUUACGGGUGAGCCACCGCACCCGACCUCUUAAAACAUUUUUGGAAUAAGUUGCUCCAACAAUAAAUGAUUGGUUAUUUAAAUUGGGAACAUCAACUUGAUGGAUAUUAUUACUAUUGAAGUUUAUAGAAGGUUUGAUAUAUGGUACAAAAUGACUCUUACAUAACAUUAAGCAAAACAAAAGCAAAAUACAGUAUUGUAUAUACAUUUUGAUCUCAGCUAAAUACUAAAUCGCAUGCUCAGAAAAAAUCCUGGAAUAUACAUGAUUUUAAAAUGUACACUCUCUAUAUAAGUAUACUAUAUAUAUCAUAAACACCCUCCCAUGUCGACAAAUAUAGAUCGUGACAUAAUUUUUAAUAGUUGCAUAGUAUUUCACUAUACGCAUGAACAAAAAUUUUUCUGAUCGUCUAAGACAUUCAGACAGCUUCAAAUGUUUUUCUGUUUUAAGUAUACUGCAAUGAACCAUCUUGCACAUUAAUCUUUAGCCAGUUUUCCAAUUAUUUCCUCAGGAUAAAUUCCUAGAAGUGGAAUUGCUGGGUCAAAAGCAUUUUUAGGGCUUUUGAAACCUAUCGCUAAAUGACCUUCCAGAGAGACUAUAAAUUUACGCUCCCACCAUCAGCAUGAGUGCAUGGCCUGUCUCUGGUGCCUUUGCCAACACUGGCUCUUCAAUGUGCUUUAAAACGAAGAAAAUAACUUAAGAAAAUAUGCCUGCAGUAGAUUUGAAACUUAUUAAAUAUAUUCAAGUCUUUAUUACACAAUCCUGGCUUGCUAUAAAAACGUUGCUAGGAGUUAACAUCUAUUGCGGAGUUACCAUGUCCCAGGCAAUGUGUGACAUGAGUUAAUUCUCAUAGUGCUGCAGAUAACUCUGUGAGGUAGGGGCCAUCAUCCAUCCAUUUCAUAUGUGAGGAAAUGAGACGCAGGGGUGUUAAAGGUAACAAAGUCCAAGGUAAUGAGGGGCUGAACUAAGAUUUCAACCCAGGCCACAGCCUACACCAUACUGUACAGCAUCUCAGUCCCUGCUGAGAUGUUCCUAAGCAUGCAGUGAACCUUUCAGCUCAGGAUUCUCCACGGCACUGCAAAUCCCUCUAGUCCAUAUUCGAGGAUGAGUCUUACUUUAGGCAGGGGCCCCAGAGACAACCAUUUAGAAGAUUCCGAGAAUCUGCCUACUAGCAUGAGGUAGGCUGCCUGUGCAGGACCUGCCAGGAAGGUGUAAACCUGGCCUGCCAGCUCUAGCCCACUGGUCACUUGGGCCGAAGAGUCAUGAGAAAAGGGUUAUUUGGGAGAGAGCUGAGUGUCAUGAUGUGCCCGCCGCCCUUGGGUCAGGUGACUGUUUCCUGCUGGUUUGCCUGGGACUCUCCCGGCUUUAGCAAUGGAAGUCUUGCAUCCCGGGAAACCCCUUAGUCCCAGGCAAACUGGGUCAGGUGAGCACCAUAUUUCUGGGGGAAGAUUCUGGCACUUCCUUCCUACCUCAAGACAGGUGUGAGGGGCUUUGAGGGGCUCUGGAGCCAUGGGCCUGGGGACAGAGCUAACACCCAUGCAUCAGACACCCAGAGGACCCAUGCCAGAUCACACUGCUGUGCUCAACUCCCUCCCUUCUCCCUCUGGGCCUAGCCUCAGAUGGUCUGAAACCCAGCUAGUGAGAAUGGGGGCUGGAAGUAGAGCCAGGAGAGAGAAGAGACUAGCAACACAGACCCCCGACUCCUCCUCAGGCCGCUUCUAAGCCUGGAGCAAGCCUCAGAUUGUGGGAGGAGACUGAACUUAACAAAAUUUAAAGUUUGAUGUUACACUGUCUUGGACAUUUUAAGUCACUGAAAUGAGACUUGAAAGGGCCGAGAAGCACUGUGGGAGCUGCCAGGGACGUCCCCCGGGGAUGGGGAGGAAUGAUGACAGAGGGCAGGGGAAGGCUGAAGCUGCUUAUGAGCCAGCACUGCCAAGGGCGACCCUCUCAACAACCAGGCUGCUUGGAGUGGCCACUGUGGGCCCCACCAGGGCCUUGCCGCCUCCUCCCAGACAGGGGUGGAACCACAGCUGCUGCCACUUCUACUGCCUAAGGCGCAGGGAUGGGGGGUAAGAACCCAGGGUCCCCUCACUGCCCCCUGCCCAUCAGGCUAUGGCAAGAGCCUUUCCUCACCCCAGAUGCUGCCUCCUCAAAUGGAGCAUCCCAGCUCUCCAAACCACCAGAGCCCGUCCUUCUCCUCCCAAGCAACCACAAUAAUAAAUGAUAGCCUGUUGACACAUGCGAGACACGGAAAUAGGUUCUUAACAGACAUUGUCUUCUUUUGUCCUUAUAAUUUACCAGUGAGGUAUUGUUGCCAUCCUCAUUUUUCAGAGGAUCAGAGAGGUUAAGGAACUUGCCCAGCUAUUAAGUAGUGGAGUGGAAACCUGUUCUGUCUCCACCCAAAGCGCAUGUCCAGUUCACAAUUCUGCACGGCUUCCUAGCUCUUACCUAGCCUAACCUCCCAGCUCCCCACCAGGCGCCUGGGAGGGACAUCUUUGCACUGGGACCUUGGUGGGAUAGCUGCGUUUCCACUAUUCCUACUUGAAACCUGGAAUGUGUUUUUUCAUGGAGACAAUAUGAUGAAGGGUUCCUUCGACUCCACGGUGGUUACUUAUUGGUUAAGUCGCCCUUUGUGACCUGGCCUGGGGUUCUGACCACACUCGAUCAUGUGAUUUCCCAGGAAGAAAACACAUCCUGGGUUCUAAAUAGCAAAUUCCAAACACACUGUUAGGACACAGCUUAUUUGUGAGUUAGGGAAUGUCUGCCUGUAAAUGAUUUUAAUUUGAGUGACAAGAAAAAUAAACUGGGCUCUUUCAUUAUGCUAUUUGGGUUGUUGGUUUACAUAGAAGUGAGGCUGCCCCGCACUUUGUCCUUCUACAAGGGCGUCAUCUGUUUGAAUUAUUCAAUCUCUUCAAAGAGUUUGUGGCUAAGUGUACGGUACUGGAGAAGCAUGUGGUUUAGUGAGUGAAUUAAAAGUCAGGAGAUGUGGGUCUAGCCCUCCCCUUGCCCUUAACCAGCUGUGUGACUUUGGGUGAGUCACUGUACCUCUCAGGGCAUCUGCUUCUCAAUCUGUACAAUGAGGUGACUCUCGAGAAUCCCCAAGUUCCCUCCCAGACCUCAGAUCCCAUGAAGAACAAAGAGCCUCAGGUGCAGAACUGCGAAGGAGAGGUCUGCUCAGAAAUCAUGUUUCUUUCUUUUGCUUCCCUUUGUAAUUUUUCAAGAAAAAUUCUUUAGUAAUGGUGUUCUUGGGCUAUAGCAGAUGAAAAAAAGAGAAAGUCAGGUUCUUUGGGGUUAAAUGGAGCAUUUAAUGACAGUUAAGCAAAAAGAUGUGUGCUGGGCCUUUUUCUCACGUUGGAUGUUUGGCUAAUUGAUCAGCAGAUCCUGGCACCCAAGUGACAACCUGCAUUGAAAAGGCGGAACUUGGCUCUCCUGCCCUGCCAGCUGUAAGAGCUUGAAAGCAAAGCUAUGGGGGGAAUGUCUUUCAUUUCCCCCUGGAAGCUGGGAGGACGUUCAGCUUAGCAUUGCCAACUGUGUAAUGUGGACUUGCCUCUAAAAGAAGCCUUUUUCCUUGGAUGUCUUUCAGGCCGCAGUAUUCCCUUUGGCACCCCCACCCACCUGGAACAAAGCCUGAUGUAAAGUCUGGGUGCGACUCAGACCGGCCUGGGAAAGAAUUUAUUUAAUAAAUGGUGGAAAGUGGCUUCCUUGACGUGUCUUCGAUGGCUUUUUUAUAAAGCAUUUGGUUUGUCUACUCGUCUGUUUUUGCGCCAUCUCUUUCCACAAAGAUGGCUUAUAGCAGGGAUACUUACAACAAAAUGAUGCUGGGAAAACAAAAACAAAGAAGUAGAGAAUUAGGCCUGAGAAAACUAGGAGUAGAGAGUCACGAUUAGAUACAGAGGAGCAUAGAUGUGUAGUCUAGGAAGGCCAACUAAUUGUUAUAGCUGAAAUUCAAAUUCAGUUAGCUAAAAUGUUCCUAGUGUCAAAGGAAGAAUGGGCCACACAGUUGCAUAAUCCUUAGUAUUAGGGAGAAGGAAAAGGUUCCAGUUAUUCAGAGGGAUGUUCUCUUGCCUUAUUCCUUUAAUAAGUAUCUGUUAAAGGCCCACCAUGUGCCAAGCACCAUGCCCGGCAAGCACUGCACUCACCCCCCAGGAACUCAGUGUCUAAAGGAGACUGGGUGAAAGAACUAUAUUUGUGUGCCUAUGAUGUGUCAAAUACUAUGCAUUUAGUUAUGCAGUUACUGUAUGUUAGACACUAUGCAUUUAAUUAUUUACCUGCUGUAUAUCAGACACCAUGCAUUUUCAUUUAACCCUCAUAAGCACUUACAUCAAGUAGACACUGUUACCUCUUUUUUACAGAUGAGAAAACAGAGUCUCUUCCCGCAGCUGGGGCUCAGGCAGCACCUGGGGGCUCAAAACACACUGGAUGCGGACCUAGUCACGUGGUAAGGACAGCCACAUGAAGUAAGAGUGAGAUGGCGAUUUCCUCUGAAAUAUGAGCCUCAUUCCUUUGAAAGUAGCAAAUAAUUAUCCAGAGGCGUUGGGAAAAUAGUAAGAAAAUCUUACCUCUAUUGAGAAAGAGUGAAUGCCAAAGGCCUCCCUUCACCUGCUCCAUUGCCUGAAACCAAGCACUCGCCCACCUCAGCUGGAGACAUUAGAUUGAAAACAAACCCCCAGUCCCCAUUUAAAGAGGUCAGCCCUGGGCAGUGAGGAUGGGAUGUUCACGGAGGUGGGGUGUGUGGUGCUCCUUAGUGGGGGAAAUGACUUAAAAUAUACAUGAGCGUAAUGGUGAUUUCAGCCUGACACAGCUUGGUAAGGAACAGUGGUUCUGCAAGAAUCCUUUGUAUAUGGUUUGCCAGAAGGAACAUAAACUGAGAUUCUAAACUCUAGAAACACAGGCAUUUUAGGAACUGUCCGCUUUAUUCCUUUUGCUCUGAUUUAAGAUAAAAAUUCUGCUUCUGAUUCCUGCCUGCAAUUUCAGCUUACUCAGACCCCUAUUUGUGCCCCCACUCCCUUGGUGCUGAAGACCCCCUAGGGAGAGCAGAACGAACCAGCUCGGAGAAGGGACCGGGAAGCAGGAGCCGGGAAGAGGUAUCAGCUAAUACGUAUCAGGCA